CUUCCCAGCCGUCCUUCGCUUCAGGCUCCGAAGAGGCUCGGCGUCGGCGGGAUCGCGCAGGCGCGGCUGGCGGUUCGCGGAGCGCCGAGUAGCGGCGCGGGGCACGCGGUUUGAAACACACCUCAGCAAGAGGAGAUGCCCCGGCGCACGUGUGCAGGUGAAAGUUCCUCGGAAACAGCUCUUACUUAUUCAAGGAAGCGGAAGAUAGAAACAUCACCAGUAACUUGUCCAUCACCAGAAACAGAUGAAGAGAAUGAAUCAGAACACAAAACCACAGCUUCAGCUGGAUCUGAACCAGCAGACACAAAGGAACUCCGCUGACCCAAAUAACACACUGUGAGUGGGGAGGCCUGGAGACCUCUAACUAUCUGUGGUCUCCAGAAGAAGGAGCCUAUGGAGAAACGGCCAACCAGAGUGGCCAAAUGUUACACCAACGGCACACACAGAUGGUCAUGAUUCAAUAAAAUCAAUGAAACAUGGAAAGAUA